UCGGGCGUGGUGUAAUGAACACAACGAGUAUCCCUGGUCCUGAUCGGUGCAAUUACAAAGGUCACUCGAAGUCCGGGGUUCGACUCCCCGCGUCCGAA